rnacentral:rRNA from 1 species
GACGAACGCUGGCGGCGCGCCUAACACAUGCAAGUCGAACGAGCAAGAGGAGGUUUACUUUCUCAAGCGAGUGGCGAACGGGUGAGUAACGCGUGAGGAACCUGCCUCAAAGAGGGGGACAACAGUUGGAAACGACUGCUAAUACCGCAUAAGCCCACGACCCGGCAUCGGGUAGAGGGAAAAGGAGCAAUCCGCUUUGAGAUGGCCUCGCGUCCGAUUAGCUAGUUGGUGAGGUAAUGGCCCACCAAGGCGACGAUCGGUAGCCGGACUGAGAGGUUGAACGGCCACAUUGGGACUGAGACACGGCCCAGACUCCUACGGGAGGCAGCAGUGGGGAAUAUUGCACAAUGGGGGAAACCCUGAUGCAGCGACGCCGCGUGGAGGAAGAAGGUCUUCGGAUUGUAAACUCCUGUUGUUGAGGAAGAUAAUGACGGUACUCAACAAGGAAGUGACGGCUAACUACGUG